UCAGAGAGCUGGAUAGCUGCUUGCUUAAAAAUUUAAAUGGAAGGUGAGAGGAAAGUCCGGGCUUCACAGGAUCAGGAUGCUGGAUAACUUCCAGCGAGGGCGACCUUAGGGAAAGUGCCGCAGAAAUUAAACCGCCUUAUUUUAUAUAAGGUAAGGGUGAAAUGGUGCGGUAAGAGCGCACCGCAGGUUUGGUAACAAAACUGGUCAGGGUAAACCCCAUCCGAAGCAAGAUCAUAUAGGGACAAAAAGCGUCUUGACGCACUGGUGAUCCUGCCAGAUUGUCCGGGUAGAUCGCUUAAACCUAUUGGCAACAAUAUGGUUCAGAUGAAUAGCUAUCAUUGAAGUUCACUUCAAACAGAACCCGGCUUAUAGGCUCUCUGAACAC
rnacentral:RNase_P_RNA from 1 species